ensembl:lncRNA
GGCUGGGUCACGUUGCGUCUGGGCUACCAUUUCCGCUUCCGUGCGGUUUCAGGCUUUUGCUUGCCGGAGGCUGGGGCACGUAGCUCCUGUGCUUCCAUUUCCGCUUCCGUGCGGUGACAGGGCUCUUGCUUGCCGGAGGCUGGGUCACGUAGCUCCUGUGCGUCCAUUUCCGCUUCCGUGCAGUGACAGGGCUCACUUGGAUGUUGCUGCUGGCUGCGCGCUGCUCAUCAAUACAUAGCCGAUGCCGCCUACUGAACUGUCGCUUUCGUAUAGCGUUGCGCUCCCUGCUCCACGCCCUGUUGGCCGGUGUUACACCGAAUUCUGCGACCCGUCGAAAUAUGUGACCCCAGAGGGCGCUGUUGCACAUUUUCUGCAACAUGCACGAGUUUGAAGCUAGACUCGUAAUGGGUACAUUCGUUUUGUGACGCCGGGCAAUACUUUCUUUCUUGAAAGCGUCUUACUGACUGUAGCUUCUUAUGGGGAAAGAAGCAACGGUGAUUGACCGUACUAAACACCUUAUCCAUACUAUGGGUCUGUGAAAUGCAAAUGAAAUCAAAUGUAUUUAUUAAGCACAUUUAAUACGGUGUGCAAUUAUUUAUUUAUGUUUUUGUUAUAAUGCCCACCGUUUUUAUUUGCAUGCCCACCGUUAUUAUUAUUUUUUUACUGCCGUUUAUGAAAUAAAUAUGAACUAAUGCCACAAUUAUUCAUGUCUGCGAUCAUCACAGAGUCCACAAGCAACGCAGGUCGCAAUCAAAGAUGCCACAAUCAAUCUAGCGCACCGUCGAAUUCUGCGCCCACACGGUAAAUGCGUGAGGAAAGUGAGGCAAACCCCAACCAAAUGUUUUCAGGUAAUUUGUCGUCCUCAUAUCUGUAUGUGCACACAAUUAUUCAUGUCUGCGAUCAUCAGAGUCCACAAGCAGCAGGUCGCAAUCCCUGAUGGGUCACAAUUCAUGACAGCAGACCGUCGAAAUCUGCGACCACACUGUAAAUGCGGGGAAAAUGAGUCAAACCCCAACCAAAUGUUUUCAGGUCUUUUGUCGUCCUCAUAUCUGUAUGUGCACACAAUUGUUCAUGUCUGCGAUCAUCACAGAGUCCACAAGCAGCAGGUCGCAAUCCCCGAUGGGUCACAAUUCAUGAUAGCAGACCGUCGAAAUCUGCGACCACACUGUAAAUGCGGGGAAAAUGAGUCAAACCCCAACCAAAUGUUUUCAGGUCAUUUGUCGUCCUCAUAUCUGUAUGUGCACACAAUUAUUCAUGUCUGCGAUCAUCAGAGUCCACAAGCAGCAGGUCGCAAUCCCCGAUGGGUCACAAUUCAUGACAGCAGACCGUCGAAAUCUGCGACCACACUGUAAAUGCGGGGAAAAUGAGUCAAACCCCAACCAAAUGUUUUAAGGUCUUUUGUCGCUCUCAUAUCUGUAUGUGCAGACAAUUAUUCAUGUCUGCGAUCAUCACAGAGUCCACAAGCAGCAGGGGUCUCAUUUAUAACCGUUGCGUACGCACAAAACGGGGCUGAAAGUUGCGUACGUGACUUUUCACGCCAAGGUUGUGAUCUAUAAAAAACCAACUUGACGGGAAAAUGUGCGCAGCGCUAAGCAAACUCUGACCCAUGCGUACGCAUGGUUUGGAUGAAAAGGAGAAUUGGUGACAGACGGUGUGGUG